rnacentral:lncRNA from 1 species
AGGGCAUUGAAAAAUAAACAAUUCGAAAUAUAAAUUACAUUCUUGAGUCCGUCUAAAAAAGAGUUCGAAUUGUGUUAAAUCACAUUUAAAAUGCAUUUGAAAAUUUCUUAUGAUGAUGACUUCUUACCUAAGUAUUUAUUUAGCGGUAGAUAGAAACUCAAUUAGAUUAGGGUCCAAUUCCAAACUUUCAUAAUUUGAUCACCCUAGUGGAGAGCUCGAUCGAUCCCAUUUUGAGUGCUCUAGAUAGUAGAGAG